rnacentral:sRNA from 1 species
UACGGACUUACCGCCAACUGCUCAAAGA